rnacentral:lncRNA from 1 species
CACGUGAUGGUGUCCUCACGUGACCUGGGGCGCAGCCUCUGAUCGGGAGCUAUGGGCGGAUUUCUGAGUUCGAGGCCAGCCUGGUCUACACAGAGAGAAACUCUGUCUCGAAAAAUAAAAAUAAAAAAGAAGCGAUAAUAGGUGUUAAAACAGAUAGUGCCUGGUAUAUGGUGAGUGCUCACCUUAGAUCUUAUCAUUUCUCCUGUGCAGAUUAUUUUUCCAACUUUCAGAUUUUGCUUUGUGGCCACCUCCGUUGAAACCUCAUUAAAGAUUUCUCUUUGGUAUGCAACUAAGACAAAUGAAAACCUGCUCAGUGCCACGCAAGAUGAAGAAAGACCCAGGAGCUGCCGAAGACCAACGGGGUCUAAAGAUACGGCAACUCAGUGCAGCCCAACUCUAAAGAAGAAAAAAAAAAUCCAGAGGGACAGGGAGACAACGGCAAUGCUGUAUAUCAAUUCUUGAAUACACAGCACUGCCGCUGGUUUGGGGAUGUGACUCGGUUGGUAAAGUAAUUGUUUAGUUUGCACAGAUCGUGGGUUUAACCCAGUACUAAAUAAACCAAGUGGCAUGAUGCACACUUGCACUGAGGAUUAGAAUUUCAAGCUCAGUCAGAGCUGCAAAGCAAAUUUGAAAAACGGGAGAGAUGACUUAGCAGUUAAGAGCGAUGGGGAUACUGAAAGCCAGAGAAGAUAUGAGGUUUGCAGUGGAUUCCAGCCUGUGUUGUCUGGGGCCUGAUUUCAGUGACCCUAACCGUGCUCACAGAGACCGGAAGUGGACACCAGAUCCCUCAGAAUGGGAGUUACAGAUGGUUAUGAGCCACCAAGUGCAUUCAUGGAACUGAACCUGGUUCAACGAAGCAGGAGUUUCUGAACAUCUGAGCCAUCUCUCCAGCCCUAGAUAUUCAUGCUUCUCAUGGAACUCUAUGACAACAAUCCCCAUUUCUUCAUCUUUCCUGCCCCUUAGGCACUCUGAUCACUGUGCUACAUUACAAGAGCAACAGUUUAUAAAACAGGGACCACUCCUUUAUAUUUUGCAUAUAUUGUUUUGUGUUAGUGACUGCAGGUCGAUUGAGCAAGUUUUGGUUUUGUGUUUGGUUGGUUGUUUCAUUUUUCUAGGUAGGGUUUCUUUGUGUAGUUCCGGCUGUUUUGGUAUUUGCAGUGUAGAUUUGUUUUGGUAUUUCCAGGCUGGCCUCAAACUCAGAGAUCCACCUGCCUCUGUC